UCCUCUUGGCUCAUUAGAGGAAGUAAAAGUCGUAACAAGGUCUCCGUAGGUGAACCUGCGGA
rnacentral:rRNA from 1 species